rnacentral:rRNA from 1 species
AUUGAACGCUGGCGGCAUGCCUUACACAUGCAAGUCGAACGGCAGCACGGACUUCGGUCUGGUGGCGAGUGGCGAACGGGUGAGUAAUAUAUCGGAACAUACCUUGUAGUGGGGGAUAACUAUCCGAAAGGAUAGCUAAUACCGCAUACGCUCUAAGGAGGAAAGCGGGGGAUCGUAAGACCUCGUGCUAUAAGAGUGGCCGAUAUCUGAUUAGCUAGUUGGUGAGGUAAAGGCUCACCAAGGCGACGAUCAGUAGCUGGUCUGAGAGGACGACCAGCCACACUGGAACUGAGACACGGUCCAGACUCCUACGGGAGGCAGCAGUGGGGAAUUUUGGACAAUGGGGGCAACCCUGAUCCAGCAAUGCCGCGUGAGUGAAGAAGGCCUUUGGGUUGUAAAGCUCUUUUGUCAGGGAAGAAACGGUUGUGGCUAAUAUCCAUGGCUAAUGACGGUACCUGAAGAAUAAGCACCGGCUAACUACGUGCCAGCCGCCGCAGUAA